GAAAAAGCCUGAAAACUCGGCUGCCAUUACAGAACUCCUUCCUCCAACCACCAAUGCCGACGCUGCUACUCCCAAAAGGAAGCCCUCAACCCACCGGUCAUUUUGAGACCAACCUCGCCGCCAAAGGACGUCAAAAACUCCUGGAAUAGCGUCGAAAAGCCGCUACCUUCUUCGCGCUCUUCUGCGUCAUUCCUUGCCACCAAUGCUACCACUACGCUCACUAGGGCCAGUUGCUUCGUCGGCUAGCUCCGCCGCACCUAGACGGUUGGCCAUCGAUGACCGUGCAGCCGAG
rnacentral:lncRNA from 1 species